rnacentral:rRNA from 1 species
ACGGGGUGCAGCAGGCGCGAAACCUCCACAAUUCACGCAAGUGAGAUGGGGUUACCUCGAGUGCUAUCUGAAGAAGGUGGCUUUUCCAUGGUGUAAUGAGCCGUGGGAAUAAGGGGGGGGCAAGACUGGUGUCAGCCGCCGCGGUAACACCAGCCCCCCGAGUGGUGGGGAUGAUUAUUUGGCCUAAAGCGUCCGUAGCCAGCUCGGUAAAUCUCUCGUUAAAUCCAGCGUCCUAAGCGUUGGGCUGCGAGGGAAACUGCCGAACUAGAGGGUGGGAGAGGUCAGCGGUAUUCCUGGGGUAGGGGCGAAAUCCAUUGAUCCCAGGAGGACCACCAGUGGCGAAGGCUGCUGACUAGAACACGCCUGACGGUGAGGGACGAAAGCUGGGGUAGCGAAUCGGAUUAGAUACCCGAGUAGUCCCAGCCGUAAACGAUGCGGGCUAGGUGUUGGGUCGGCCAUGCGCCGCCUCAGUGCCACAGGGAAGCCAUUAAGCCUGCCGCCUGGGGAGCACGGCCGCAAGGCUGAAACUUAAAGGAAUUGGCGGGGGAGCACCACCAGGCGUGAAGCCUGCGGUUUAAUUGGAGUCAACGCCGGGAACCUUACCGGGAGCGACAGCAGAGUGAA